UACAGAGGGGGCAAGCGUUAUUCGGAAUUAUUGGGCGUAAAGGGCGCGUAGGCGGCCUGGCAAGUGACGGGUGAAAGCCCUCGGCUUAACCGAGGAACUGCCUGUCAGACUGUUAGGCUUGAGACCGGGAGAGGUGAGUGGAAUUCCCAGUGUAGCGGUGAAAUGCGUAGAUAUUGGGAGGAACACCAGUGGCGAAGGCGGCUCACUGGACCGGU
rnacentral:rRNA from 1 species